rnacentral:rRNA from 1 species
UGGGGAAUUUUGGACAAUGGGCGCAAGCCUGAUCCAGCAAUGCCGCGUGUGUGAAGAAGGCCUUCGGGUUGUAAAGCACUUUUGUCCGGAAAGAAAACCUCGUGGUUAAUACCCGUGGGGGAUGACGGUACCGGAAGAAUAAGCACCGGCUAACUACGUGCCAGCAGCCGCGGUAAUACGUAGGGUGCAAGCGUUAAUCGGAAUUACUGGGCGUAAAGCGUGCGCAGGCGGUUCGCUAAGACAGAUGUGAAAUCCCCGGGCUUAACCUGGGGACUGCAUUUGUGACUGGCGGGCUAGCGUAUGGCAGAGGGGGGGAGAAUUCCACGUGUAGCAGUGAAAUGCGUAGAGGUGUGGAGGAAUACCGAUGGCGAAGGCAGCACCCUGGGCCAAUACUGAAGCUCAUGCACGAAAGCGUGGGGAGCAAACAGG